UGAGAUGAAGGAGUAUGUGCUCCAGAGCCUGGUCCCACUGCUCCUCCUUGUUCAUGAUGAGCGUCCCAACGUGUCCCAGGUGUGUUGGGACACCCUCAGCAGUGCCGCCCAAUUCCUGAGGUGGCACCAGCUCAGUGGCCUCAUCCAGCACAAGGAAACCUGGCGAAUCUGUGACUGCCUGGUGAGGCGCUACAACGGGAGAGCUGAUGACUUCCUGUGCCAGACCAUGGCCUUCCUGCAGAACCCACAGACUCCAGUUAGGGAAGCAGCCAUCAGGUUCCUAGGGCUCACUGCCCGGCAGCUGGACCAGGGGAGCCAGAACAAGUUGAACGCCAUCUGCAAGAACCUCAAAGGCUUGCAGCAGGACAGCAAGUCCUCAGUCCGAUGCCUGGCUUCUCAGACUAUUUUCAUCCUGGAGGCCUUCAAGAACCAGCCUCCAGCCUGCUGCAGCCUAUGGACAUUGGUCCAUAGGAUAACAACAAUGUGCACUGAGGAUAGCCCGCUCAUUGAAGCUGCCCAGCUGCCCUAGCUCUGGGAAAAGCAAGCCUCCCUUCUCUGGGGGCUUGGUGCAUCAGAGCCCACCUGGAGCAAGGUGGAACACACGGCUUCUUCCCAAUUGGCUGCCUGCCCUGCCCAGCCAUAACACAGACCGCUCCACUGGAUCCCACAACCCAUACAGGGAGAAAGCCGUAGAAAAUGCUGACAUCUCCAAAAUCAUAUCAGGGCAAGAAAAGGCACUUGCUGUUUGCAACACUUGUACAGGACAGACACAGGGUGAGGGCUAGACUAAGUGGCCAUGGUUAGUCCUGCUCCAUCUCUACCGUCUCAGUUUCCAUCUACAGCUGUUCACACUCAAAAUGCAGGACAGGGGUAAGGUUAGCCCAUCACCAAAAGAACCUUAAUGUAAAGCAGUGUUCCUUCCUGCGCCUGGUGGGGAUCACGCAGACAGACAACACCCCAGGCUGGGCAUUGUCCCAGGGUAAAGCAGGGCUGUAGCGUAAGGUGGAGUCGUCCCUGGACGAACAGGGUGAGGCAUGGGACAAUGCAGCUGAGAGUUGCAGGGCUGGGCACCAGAAGAAUCGCCGGGUGGAACUUUGGGGUAUGGCAGGGAGGGGUGGAACAAGCCCUGCUCUGGGUCAGUCCCAGUGCCAUUGGCCCACUGCCUUUGAAGAGGCCACCGAUGAAGGCCAUUUGUCCUACUCCCCUGGGUCCAGCAACCCAGCUCUCCCUGGAGAGAAACUUUGCCUUGAAAUUUUAAAGCAAGCGACUUUGUUGUUAGGGCUGAAGGGGGUGGUGGCACGGGAGACACUGACCAUGUGAUGACACCAGUCAGCUCAGAGAGAAAUCUGCCGCUUGUGUUCUUUGGGGGAUCGUACCUUAAAAAGGGGUCAGCGGGAGGUGGAAGGGCUGAGUGUAAAGGACCAGGAAGGAAGUAGGGUCGUGGGAGAGGGUCAGUGCCAGGACAUCCCGUUGCUAAUGAGAAUCCGCCUUCCAAGUAGCACCGCCCCAGGUCCGUAAUCCUUAUGC